rnacentral:tRNA from 1 species
GCCUUCUUAGCUCAGUGGUAGAGCGCGUGGCUUUUAACCACGUGGUUGUGGUUUGAUCCCACAGACGGUG